CAAACACAAACAACUUUUUAUUAUUAUAAACCAGUCAAAACCAAUUUCGUUAUGAAAUUAAAAAUAUUUAAAACUUUCAACAACGGAUCUCUUGGUUCUCGCAUCGAUGAAGAACGCAGCGAAAUGCGAUACGUAAUGUGAAUUGCAGAAUUCCGUGAAUCAUCGAAUCUUUGAACGCACAUUGCGCCCCUUGGUAUUCCAGGGGGCAUGCCUGUUUGAGCGUCAUUUCCUUCUCAAACAAUCAUGUUUGGUAGUGAGUGAUACUCUGUCAAGGGUUAACUUGAAAUUGCUAGCCUGUUAUUUGGUUGUGAUUUUGCUGGCUUGGAUGACUUUGUCCAGUCUAGCUAAUACCGAAUUGUCGUAUUAGGUUUUACCAACUUCGGCAGACUGUGUGUUGGCUCGGGCGCUUUAAAGACUUUGUCGUAAACGAUUUAUCGUUUGUUUGAGCUUUUCGCAUACGCAAUCCGGCGAACAAUACUCUCAAAGUUUGACCUCAAAUCAGGUAGGAAUACCCGCUG
rnacentral:rRNA from 1 species